GAGUUUACCCCGCCUACGGCCCCGGGAGCGGGACCAGGGACCGCGCCGGCCCCAACGGCCCCACGAGCGCAACCCAGCUCCCCGUCCCCGAGAGACGGAAAAACCGGCCCCGGCCCCACAGCGGCCUGAUCCUCCCCACCCGCCUGACCAUCCCCGGCCCCGCAUCGCUGUCACCCGCAGCGGCAUGACCCUCCCUCCCCUCCCCGCUCCGCCACGGCCCUGACCCUCCUAGCACCCCGUCCCCACCCUGACGCUCCUCUUCGAGGCACCUCCGUGGUGUCCCCACCACCACCCUGACUCUCCCACGGCCUUGACCCUCCUCUUCCCCUCCCAGGCACCCUCACCAGCCCGCACCUCCCAGGUGUCCCCACCACCAGCCUGACUCUCCUUUUCUCUUCCCAGGUAUCCCCCCAUCCCCAUGGCCCUGACCCUCCUUCUCCUCCCAGGCAGCCCACACCCCCGCCCUGACUCUCCUCUUCCCCUUCCAAGUGUCUUCAUACCCCCGACCAUCCCCCACUCAUCCCGGGCACCCCACCACCCUGCCCCCCUCUUGCCCUACCAGGCAUCCCUCCGCCUCCUCGCCUCCUCUCAGGCACCCACAACCAUCACCACCAUCUGUUGUGCCAGCAGCGCUUGCAGCCAUGUGACAGGCACCUGCUCCUGGUAGUUAGAAGAUUGGCACACUUAAAGUGAAAACAACCCAGCACGCUGCAAUAAAAAAGCCAAGGCAGUAGAAAAACUGGCCAAGUGGCAAUUGCUAACAUGGAAAAGUAAUAUAGGAUAAUGUCUAAUGUAUUUGUAGCUGUCUUUUAAUGCAAUUGAGUAACUAGAAAUAAGGAAGAUCUGGCACCAUAUGAACAUACAACUUUCCACAGACCAACAGCAGGUGCACUGUGGACUACAGUUUGACAACCGCAGUACUAGUAGCCUGAUUCAAAGUCCAUUGAGGUACAGUGUGUUGCAGUAAUCAAGCCUGGAAGAUAUGAAUACAUGAGUCACUGCAGCCAAACCUGCACUUAUCUGGAUGGGAUGCAGUCUCCUGUCCAGCUAGAGAUGGAAGAAGGUACAACAAUGGAAAAGCCAGACAGGGCGGAUGACCCAUUAGCAAGGACAAUAGACUGUGAAAGUCUUGGCCUUCCUGGGGACUCUCCAUACUGCCGCUGACUCAUGGAUACUGUGAUCUUACAGAGUCAAGUGGUCUUGUCCCCUGAUACUAAAACAUUACAUGGGACUUCUUGUAACUUUCCACUGUAAGGGAAGGGGGGUCAAGUUUGGGAAACAAAGCAUUCCCACCUUAUGUAAAUCCUAUUGAAGGUGGGGAGGAAGGCAAACAGGACUCCUCCUCUUCAUGGGCUGUCUGCCCAAGAAGAAAGAAUCAAAAGGGAAGGCAAAAACUGUGUGCGCUGCAAUGCCCAGCCCCAUCCUGGACAGUCCAGACAUGAAAAAGUUAGUUUGUUCUUCUAAAGACACAAAAUCACGUCACAGCUUAUUAACUUUACAGAGGUGAAUACACCCUUCCCUGUAAACACAGCACUGAGUUGGUUUAUAGUAAAAAAAAAAAUUUUUUUAUUAACAAGAGGACAGAGGUUAGGUGAUGCCAGGUAAAAGGAAUAAAUUUAGAAAGGGUUACAAGCAAAUCAAAGUGAAAACACGUAUCUAAAAGUCUAAAACUUAAUCUAGCAAGGUGCAAGCUUUGUUCAAGAUGGUUUCUCACUUUUAUUCAGUUUUCAGAGAUUUCAACCACCUCUGGACUGAAGACCCAUCUUUCUCAACUUGCAAGAACUCUAUUCCCUUGUGUCUGUUUAGCGAUGGGUGCCAAAGAUGGCUUCUGUCUUUGCUCAUAUCUUCCAAAGUUCAGUGACUUUGUUUGCAGAGGCCGGAUGCCCUCAUGCUGUUUUUCCCUUCCUGUGGGUUUCCCAUCCCUCUGGAUGUAAAUGGGGCUUCCAUUGAUUUGAUUCCACCAUGCUUAAUUUAUAUAGAUAGCUACCUUCUCUCCUUUCUGGGAGGGAACCCAUUUCUCCCUGUUUGGCCACAGACUUUACUUCAUAAUAUCAUUGAGUAUCCAUAUUUCUUCAUACAGUAUAAUACAGACAUUUCACAGUGAUAUUCAUCACUCAUGUGCCAUUAAGUUCCAGAAAAUACCUCACCCUACAUUAUAAUACGGUAAUAUUGUAGAACAUGAGUUGAUUCAAUUACUUAUCAUUUUAGGUUCAGCACCUGUCUUUAUAGACCAAUAAACCUUUGCAAUGUAUUUUUUGAAAAGUAAAACCCAAACCAAGCUUCUCUUUCUGGCUGAGUGUAGAUGCCAUACUGUCUCCUCCCCAUCUUCUUUGCUUGAUAGUCUUGUUUACCUGGUAUGUAAAAAUGGACCUUCAUUGUCUCAAUCAGAUGACCGGGCUGGUCAGAGAAGCAAAUACACAUUCCUUUGUCUAAAGCAGACCUCUUUACCAACUCCCCCUGACAUGCCUGGUUUAAACACACAUUAGUAAUAAUUGCAGCAUACAUUCAAAACUCUUAAUACACACCAUGUGCAUACAUCACGCAAGAAUAUUAAUGAUCAAUGACUUAUUAGUUUUCAAAUGAUACCUCACCAACCAUAUUUUGUACAAAGAUUAUUACAAUAGUGUGUAGGGUGUGAAUACAGGGGUGCUUAGGAUCACAACACCCCAGAACAUUAGCCUUUUUCUCAACUGCAUCACACAGUUGACUCAUUCGAUUUGUGAUCCACUAUAA